CCUACGGGAGGCAGCAGUAGGGAAUUUUCGGCAAUGGGGGGAACCCUGACCGAGCAACGCCGCGUGAACGAAGAAGUUAUUCGUAAUGUAAAGUUCUUUUAACAGGGAAGAACGAGAAAUUUGACGGUACCUGAAGAAUAAGCUCCGGCUAACUACGUGCCAGCAGCCACGGUAAGACGUAGGGAGCGAGCGUUAUUCGGAAUGAUUGGGCGAAAAGGGUGCGUAGAUGGCAUAGUAAGUCUUUUGUAAAAAUGCUGGGCUCAACCGAGUAGGGCAAAAGAUACUGGAAAGCUGGAGUAUGACAGAGGCAAGUGGAACUACAUGUGUAGCGGUAAAAUGCGUAGAUAUAUGUAAGAACACCAGUGGCGAAGGCGGCUUGCUGGGUCGAUACUGACAUUGAGGAACGAAAGCGUGGGGAGCAAACAGGAUUAGAUACCCUAGUAGUC
rnacentral:rRNA from 1 species